AUUGAACGCUGGCGGCAGGCCUAACACAUGCAAGUCGAGCGGAGCGGCGGACGGGUGAGUAAUGCCUAGGAAUCUGCCUGGUCGUUGGGGAUAACGUCCGGUCACGGGCGCUAAUACCGCAUACUAUCAGAUGAGCCUUGGUCGGAUUAGCUAGUUGGUGGGGUAAAGGCCUACCAAGGCGACGAUCCGUAACUGGUCUGAGAGGAUGAUCAGUCACACUGGAACUGAGACACGGUCCAGACUCCUACGGGAGGCAGCAGUGGGGAAUAUUGGACAAUGGGCGAAAGCCUGAUCCAGCCAUGCCGCGUGUGUGAAGAAGGUCUUCGGAUUGUAAAGCACUUUAAGUUGGGAGGCGGUACAAAAAGAAUAAGCAACGGCUAACUACGUGCCAGCAGCCGCGGUAAUUC
rnacentral:rRNA from 1 species